rnacentral:lncRNA from 1 species
UUAUUUAUUUAUAUUUUUAUUUUAAAAAUACAGACAGGGUCUUACUAUGUUGGCUAGGUUGGUCUUGAGCUACUGGCCUCAAGCAAUCCUUCCGCCUCGGCCUCCCAAAGCGCUGGGAUUACCUGCGUGAGCCACUGCGCCCAGCUGGCUCUCAGUUUCAAUGUCAAGGGGAUCCCUGAAAAGCCAGGUUCUCUGCAUCUCUCUGCUCUGGCAUUUUCUGCAGGGCACAGUGGCUGCCUCUGUCUGGGCAUCUCAUCCAACAGGACACAUGCAGGAAGCAUCUCUUCCUUGGUCCAUUUUUAUCAGCAAUGAAACCUUUGCAAGAAUUCCCCCAGCUCACCCCCUCUCGUGUUUUUCACCAGCAUGUGCUCACAUGUCCACCCCUAAGCCAAUCGUAGUGAGAGGAACUGUAUUACCAAGAUGGCUGAGAAUAAUCAGGAUUUCUUCCAGAUGGGAAAAUGAGGUCCCCCUCUUUGAGCAUCUGUGACUGCCGGGAAGCAGAUAGACCCUCUGCCUUCAAGAAAGAAGGGGUGAGAAAGCAUGAAUUUCAGAAAGGCACCAAUGGUAUCUAUCAUCACACUUGUUUAAUUUCAUCCUCACAAAAACUCUCUGAGGUAUUACUUGUCCCCAUCAGCAUGUAUCUUGUAUUUGACCUCUGAGUGGAUCAUCUUUUUAAUUUUUAAAAUUUUUGUGGGUACACGGUAGGUGUAUCUAUUUAUGGGAUACAUGUUUUGAUAUGGGCAAGCAAAGUGUAAUAAUCAUGUCAUGGAGAAUGGGGUGUUCAUCCCCUCAAGCAUUCAUCCUUUGUGUUACAAACAAUCCAAUUCUACUCUUUUUUUUUUUUGAGAUGGAGUUUUGCUCUUGUUGCCCAGGCUGGAGUGCAAUGGUACGAUCUCAGCUCACUGCAACCUCCGCCGCUCAGAUUCAAGUGAUUCUCCUGCCUCAGCCUCCUGAGAGCUGGGACUGCAGGUGCCUGCCACCACACCCAGCUAAUUUUUUUUUUGUAUUUUUAGUAGAGAUGGGGUUUCACCGUGUUAGCCGGGAUGGUCUUGAUCUCCUGACCUUGUGAUCUUCCCCUCUCGGCCUCCCAAAGUGCUGGAAUUACAGGCGUGAGCCACCAUGCCCGGCCAUUAUUUUUGUUUUAACAGAGAAAAUGUAUCCACAUGCUACGUGUUUGAUUAAAAAUUACAAGGCCAAGCAUGGUGGCUCAAACUUGCGAUCCCAGCACUUUAUGGGGCUGAGGUGGGAGGGUCACUUGAAGCCCUGAGUUUAAGACUAGCGUGGGCAACAUAGUGAGACCCCCAUCUCUACAAAACAAAACAACAACAAAACUAAGCUGGUGCAUGGUGGCAUGCACCUAUAGUCCUAGCUACUUGAGAGGCUGAGGUGGGAGGAUAUCUUGAGCCCAGGAGCUCGAGGCUGCAGUGAGCUGUGUUUGUGCCACUGUACUCCAACCUGGGCAACAAAGUGAAAUCCCAUCUCUUUUUUUUUUUUUUGAGACGGAGUCUGGCUCUGUCGCCCAGGCUGGAGUGCAGUGGUGCGAUCUCGGCUCACUGCAAGCUCCACCUUCCGGGUUCACGCCAUUCUCCUGCCUCAGCCUCCUGAGUAGCUGGGACUACAGGCGCCCGCCACCGCACCCACCUAGUUUUUUGUAUUUUUAGUGGAGACGGGGUUUCACUGUUUUAGCCAGGAUGGUCUCAAUCUCCUGACCUCGUGAUCCGCCCGUCUCGGCCUCCCAAAGUGCUGGGAUUACAGGUGUGAGCCACCGCGCCCGGCCAAAAUCCCAUCUCUU